UACGUAGGGUGCAAGCGUUUGUCCGGGAAUUAUUGGGCGUAAAGAGCUCGUAGGCGGUCUGUUGCGUCGGCUGUGAAAACCCGGGGCUCAACCCCGGGCCUGCAGCCGAUACGGGCAGACUAGAGUUCGGCAGGGGAGACUGGAAUUCCUGGUGUAGCGGUGAAAUGCGCAGAUAUCAGGAGGAACACCGGUGGCGAAGGCGGGUCUCUGGGCCGAUACUGACGCUGAGGAGCGAAAGCGUGGGGAGCGAACAGG
rnacentral:rRNA from 1 species